ACAAGAAUCUCUCAAUUGUAGUUUGUCCAGGCAAUUCAUUUAACUUCAAUGAAUUUGACAUAAAUCCUCUGCUCCAGAACUUCUCUACUUUGAUAACAGAGUACAUACAAAUUGAAAGUGGUUCCUCUGUUCCAGAACUUCUCUACUUUGUCAUCUCAUAGAUUGUUUCAACUCUUGUGGUUCCAAGGAUCACUACACUUGAAUUAACAUUGCAGAAAUCGUUGGGGAGCUUAAAGUUUUCCUUCUCCAACUUC